GUAUCAAUGGAAGAAGUUUGGAAUGCAUUUAUUUGUCUUUGUAAACAUCUAUAUGCAUAUUUUCUGAAAUUUCUUUAUACUUGAUGAAAGUUGUUGAAUUUUAUUUAUCACCAGACGUGGAAUUUCAGAGGCUGCAGUAAUCCUGCUCAGAGGCAGUGCAAACCUGUUGAAACCACCUUCCCACUGUCUUCACAUAGUAGAGUCCUGCCUGUUUCUACAUCACCAGCAAUGAUGUUGGCUUUUGAAACUGCCUGCUUGGCUGGGAGUCAGCUGAGCAUUUUUUUGCCUGCAGACUCUGCCUCCCCAGUUGCAGCCUUUGCCAGCUGAAAGCUGCUGUACCAGUGCUCCACCUCUAAACCAUCUGGAAAAGAGAGCUCUUUCACAACCUCACCUCCACUGAUACCAGCAGUUCAAUGGUUGUCACCCAAGAUAAGAACAUUUCUGGAUUUGAAUUCUCAAUAAUGAGCCAUUGAAGACAUACCCAUUCCAAGAAGAAGGAUGAGUUGUCUGGAAAACAGAAGAAAAAAUACAAAAUGUCCUGCAAUAAUUAAACUUUCACUUUGCUGCAGAAAA